UGCAUGGCUGUCGUCAGCUCGUGUUGUGAAAUGUUGGGUUAAGUCCCGCAACGAGCGCAACCCUUAUCCUUUGUUGCCAGCGGUCCGGCCGGGAACUCAAAGGAGACUGCCAGUGAUAAACUGGAGGAAGGUGGGGAUGACGUCAAGUCAUCAUGGCCCUUACGACCAGGGCUACACACGUGCUACAAUGGCGCAUACAAAGAGAAGCGACCUCGCGAGAGCAAGCGGACCUCAUAAAGUGCGUCGUAGUCCGGAUUGGAGUCUGCAACUCGACUCCAUGAAGUCGGAAUCGCUAGUAAUCGUGGAUCAGAAUGCCACGGUGAAUACGUUCCCGGGCCUUGUACACACCGCCCGUCACACCAUGGGAGUGGGUUGCAAAAGAAGUAGGUAGCUUAACCUUCGGGAGGGCGCUUACCACUUUGUGAUUCAUGACUGGGGUGAAGUCGUAACAAGGUAACCGUAGGGGAACCUGCGGUUGGAUCACCUCCUUACCUUAAAGAA
rnacentral:rRNA from 1 species